rnacentral:rRNA from 1 species
AUAGGUGCCCGUACCGCAAACCGACACAGGUAGGUGAGGAGAGAAUCCUAAGGCCAUCGGAAGAAUUGCUGUUAAGGAACUCGGCAAAUUGACCCCGUAACUUCGGGAGAAGGGGUGCCUACGAAAGUAGGCCGCAGAGAAUAGGCCCAAGCAACUGUUUAGCAAAAACACAGGUCUCUGCUAAAGCGAAAGCUGAUGUAUAGGGGCUGACGCCUGCCCGGUGCUGGAAGGUUAAGGGGAACACUUAGCGUAAGCGAAGGUGUGAACUUAAGCCCCAGUAAACGGCGGCCGUAACUAUAACGGUCCUAAGGUAGCGAAAUUCCUUGUCGGGUAAGUUCCGACCCGCACGAAUGGCGUAAUGAUUUGGGCACUGUCUCAACAGCAAAUCCGGCGAAAUUGUAGUGCAAGUGAAGAUGCUUGCUACCCGCGAUUGGACGGAAAGACCCCGUAGAGCUUUACUGUAGCUUAGCAUUGAAUCUCGGUAUUGUCUGUACAGGAUAGGUGGGAGACUUGGAAACUUGGGCGUCAGCCUGAGUGGAGUCAUCCUUGGGAUACCACCCUGACAGUACUGGGGUUCUAACCGGCGGCCAUGAAUCUGGUCACGGGACAUUGUUAGGUGGGCAGUUUGACUGGGGCGGUCGCC